UCAAGCUAUAAAGAGCGCAAGGGGAAUGCCUUGGCAUCAGGAGCCGAAGAAGGACGUGACAAGCUGCGAUAAGCCACGGGGAGGAGCAAAUAUCCGCUAUAUCCGUGGAUUUCCGAAUGGGGGAACCCGCUUGAGCAAUACUCAAGCAUCGUGCAUUGAAUCAAAUAGGUGUACGAGGGGAACGGUCUGAACUGAAACAUCUAAGUAGGACCAGGAAAAGACAUCAACCGAGAUUCCGCAAGUAGUGGCGAGCGAACGCGGAGGAGGCCAAACCGGAGGAUUUAUUCUCCGGGGUUGCGGACAGACAUCACGAUCAGAGGAAGCUAGGAGAACGGCAUGGGAAGGCCGGCUAGAAAGGGUGAGAGCCCCGUAUCCGAAAGCAGGAGCUGACAGUCUGGAUCCAGAGUACCGCGGGACACGUGAAACCCCGUGGGAAACCGGGUGGACCACCAUCCAAGCCUAAAUACUACCUGAUGACCGAUAGAGGAGCAGUACCGUGAGGGAAAGGUGAAAAGGACCCCGGGAGGGGAGUGAAAGAGAACCUGAAACCUUGUGCUUACAAGCAGUCAGAGCACGUUAAAGUGUGAUGGCGUACUUUUUGUAGAACGGUCCGGCGAGUUAUAGUAACGAGCAAGCUUAAGGUAUUCAGUACCGGAGGCGAAGCGAAAGCGAGUCUGAAUAGGGCGCAUGAAGUUCGUUGCCAUAGACCCGAAACCGGGUGACCUACGCAUGAGCAGGUUGAAGUGGGGGUGAAACCCCAUGGAGGACCGAACCGACCCCCGUUGCAAUGGUGGCGGAUGACUUGUGGAUAGCGGAGAAAUUCCAAUCGAACUCGGAGAUAGCUGGUUCUCCCCGAAAUAGCUUUAGGGCUAGCGUUAUGUUAGAUUACCGGAGGUAAAGCACUGAAUGGUUUAGGGGCUGAUAAAGUUACCGACGCCUAUCAAACUCUGAAUGCCGGAUAAUUGAUGCACAGCAGUCAGACAGUGUGAGAUAAGUUUCAUUGUCAAAAGGGAAACAGCCCAGACCCACAGCUAAGGUCCCUAAUGUGCGCUAAGUGGAAAACGAUGUGGAGUUGCGAAAACAACCAGGAUGUUGGCUUAGAAGCAGCCACUCAUUAAAAGAGUGCGUAAUAGCUCACUGGUCGAGUGACUCUGCGCGGAAAAUAUAACGGGGCUAAGCACACAACCGAAGCUUGGGAUUGUCAAAAGACAGUGGUAGGGGAGCGUCGAAUACGGGGUGAAGUCGUAUCGGAAGGAACGGUGGACUGUAUUCGAGUGAGAAUGCCGGAAUGAGUAGCGAGAAUUAUGUGGGAAUCAUAAUGGCCGAAAAUCUAAGGUUUCUUGGGGAAGGUUCGUCCGCCCAAGGUAAGUCGGGAGCUAAGGCGAGGCCGAGAGGCGUAGUCGAUGCACAUACGGUAGAAAUUCCGUAACCACCGAAACUUAAGUUAGAGGGACACUUCGAGAUAGCGGAACCGCGGCGUUGGUAGACCGCGGCGAAAGGGACUGAAAUAUAGUAGGGAAGUCCGCGAUGCUCGGAGGCGAGAAAAGCUCUAAGGAAUGCUAAGGUGCCCGUACCGCAAACCGACACAGGUAGAUGAGGAGAGAAUCCUAAGGCCAACGGGAGAAGGGUUGUUAAGGAACUCGGCAAGAUGACCCCGUAACUUCGGAAGAAGGGGAGCCUCGAAAGAGGCCGCAGUGAAUAGGCCCAGGCAACUGUUUACCAAAAACACAGGUCUAUGCUAAAUCGAAAGAUGACGUAUAUGGGCUGACGCCUGCCCGGUGCCGGAAGGUUAAGAGGAGAUGUCAGGCAACGAAGCAUCGAAUUGAAGCCCCGGUAAACGGCGGCCGUAACUAUAACGGUCCUAAGGUAGCGAAAUUCCUUGUCAGGUAAGUUCUGACCCGCACGAAUGGCGUAAUGAUCUGGGCACUGUCUCGACAGCCCACCCGGCGAAAUUGUAGUACUGGUGAAGAUGCCAGUUACCCGCAACUAGACGGAAAGACCCCAUGGAGCUUUACUGCAGCUUAAUACUGGAAAUCGGUAAUUCAUGUACAGGAUAGGUGGGAGACGGAGAAGUACGGUCGUCAGGUCGUAUGGAGUCGCCCUUGGGAUACCACUCUUGGAUUGCUGAUUUUCUAACCUGCGGCCGUGAAUCCGGUCGGGGGACACUGUUAGGCGGGCAGUUUGACUGGGGCGGUCGCCUCCAAAAAGGUAACGGAGGCGCUCAAAGGU
rnacentral:rRNA from 1 species